CACAGUCUUUUUGAAUUAAAUUUAAAGUCUAACCUGCCCACUGAUAAUAAUUAAAGGGCCGCAGUAUUUUGACUGUGCGAAGGUAGCAUAAUCAUUAGUCUUUUAAUUGGAGGCUUGUAUGAAUGGUUGAAUGAGAUAUAUACUGUCUUUUUUAAAAUUAUAUAGAAUUUUAUUUUUUAAUUAAAAAGUUAAAAUAAAAUUAAAGGACGAGAAGACCCUAUAGAUCUUUAUUUUUUUUUAUUAUAAAUUAAAAAGAAUUUUAAAAUUUAUAAUUUAAUAAAAAAUUUUAUUGGGGUGAUAUUAAAAUUUAAGAAACUUUUAAAAUUUAUUAACAUUAAUAUAUGAAUAAAUGAUCCAGUUUUAUUGAUUAAAAAAUUAAGUUACCUUAGGGAUAACAGCGUAAUUUUUUUUUAGAGUUCAUAUCGACAAAAAAGAUUGCGACCUCGAUGUUGGAUUAAGAGUUAUUUUUAGGUGUAGAAGUUUAAAGUUAGGUCUGUUCGACCUUGAAUUUUACUGUAUUUUGC
rnacentral:rRNA from 1 species